rnacentral:misc_RNA from 1 species
GGAACCAUCCCUGAAUUGAAAAAGGACAUAUCAUAAUUCAUAAUCCCUGCAAAGGUAAAAGUAUCCAAGGAGGAAGAGGUGGUGAAUAUGCGAAAGCAGGGGAGAAGCAAUGACAGAUUUUUAUCAACUACUUGAUCAUACAUACAAUCUACUUCCAAGACAAAACAAGGUGCCUGGCCAAUGAAGUAAGCCAAAGCAAACGGGCACAUUAGCACCGUUUAAAUCUAAAAAGAAAUGCAAAAAAAUCCAUACAAUCACACAAAUAUUACAUUUAUGAAGGAAAUUAACCACAAAAUCAGUGAAAGAGACACGGGAAAUGGUUCUUUUAGUUCCUGGACUAAUCUUCUUCCACUAUUUUCUUCCCCUAGUAUUGCUUCACUUGUAUUCCAAGAUCAUAUUAUUCUCAGGAGCCAAGCCAACACAAGCUCUCAAUAUGUUCUCAAGCAUUGCGCGCUGCUUUGACAGUGCAUUCACCACUGGUGUGCCUGGUGGAACAAGAGGAGCCUUGGUGAGGUAACUGAGAAUGGUAGCCACGGGGUGGAAGGAGUGGAACUUACCCUCCCCUUCAGCUUUAAGCUGGAUCCUCGUGCUGAGCUCAGCAAGGAGGACCAAAUCCAGGAUGAUGGGUGCAGCCAAGAGGGAGUCCUCGCAGGUGUUGUGCAGGACUAUGGUGUUUUUGCCACCCAUGAAAAUCUCUGAAGUGUACUCAUCCAUAGCCCUCUUGCUAUCUCCCACAUAUGGCACAUACUUGAUGACCACAACAUGGUCAGGGUGUUCCCCAGGUUCAUAUAGGAUGCCAUUGCUAGCAACCAUGUCAUCAACAACAUUGCUUUUGGAGAUUUCCUUGGAACGGAAAGUUUGAGGUGCGGAGAGGUUCAUCCCGUCAUUGUUUCCCAGGUGAUUGUAACUCACUAUUGAUGUUGGCUGCAUCACCACCAUUACAAGUACCCAUCAAUGUCAUCUCAAUUAUUGACAGCAUAGUAUUAACAAAACCAGAAACUGUUUAAAACGACAAAUCAGGCCAUUUAACGAAAUUGUUUUGCAAAUCCACAAGAAACGUAAUGAUAAAAUUGAUUAUGCUUAACCAAAAAUCAUAUCCAAAUUGGUACAGUUUGGAAAUUUUAUACCUUAAUACCGGCACCAACAAGGAAAUCAACAAGCACAGAUUUCAUCUUGGUCUGACCACUCUUGAAGUCAUCUCCACCAAUCAAACUGUUUCUCUUAAUGGCCAAAUCAAUAAGGCCUGGAACAAAAGUGUUCUGUGGGCUUCCAUUAAUGAAAGGAACUUCUUCAAAAACACAAGCCAGAGCAUACAAGGUUGAUGGAGAUAUUUCAGCUUCAUUUUUCUCCAAAGCAGCCAAGAGGUUCUCCAUGGUGUCAUUUAGGCCCACAACAACAUUACUGUACCUCUCAGUGUUGGCAGUCCACAGCACAACCACCUUGUCCACCUUGUUUUUCUCCUUAAACUCCCUAAUGUCAUUAACAAUUUGCUGGACCUGCUCUUUCUUAGUCCCUUUGAUCACGUUGUUGGCACGUGAGCCUUGAUUGGCAGCAAUGAAAUCAGGGUCAUAGAUUCCAGGGAGUGGAACCAUAGAUUCCAUGUAGGGCCUCAGUUGCUUCUGGAGAUCAAUUUCGAAGACCUUGGCCCUGGCCAUGGCAUCUGCCAAGUUCAUGUCACUUAUGUCCCAACCACCAAACACAAUGUCAUCUGGGUUCACCAUGGGGAGGAGGCUCUUGAACGGAGCAUAUAUCUCCUCUCCAUUGAAAGACCCAACUCGGAUUGAUGAUGCUUGGGUGAGGGAACCAAAGUAAUUUGCCUGUUGAACCUUGUCCUUGGUUGCCCAAGAGAUUCCUUGUUUGUUGGCUAUAACCGCACCGGUGAGGGUAGAACCGUUGUUUCCUCCCCACCCCACAAGCAUUACCCCCAGUUUAGGGACAUGGGUAUCUGUCUUGAAUUCGUAUUUAACAGUUUUGGGCUUCACAAUCCAUUGAUAAGUACCAUUCCUGUUCUCAUGAACAAGCUCAGUGGUUUCAUAGUUGUACACAGAGCGAAUCUCAUCCUCUGUAUACUUAACAUUAGGGCUCUCAACCUUAAACUUCUCAAUAAACAUUUUCUAUUGAACAAAAAUGAGAGAAAAUAAAUGAACCAAACAAGAGUCUGAGAUUGCAAGCGAGAAAAUGAAGGAGAAGAAGAGAAAAUUGGCUAAC